rnacentral:ncRNA from 2 species
UUAUUAGCAAAGAAUAAUCCUUGUAUAGUAUCAGUACAAUCGAAUUCGGUCUGAUAGUCUCUACCUGGCAGCCGUUAAAUGCCGGACUACAAGGAAGUAUGAAUACAUC